CCUACGGGAGGCAGCAGUGGGGAAUAUUGCACAAUGGGGGAAACCCUGAUGCAGCGACGCCGCGUGAAGGAAGAAGUAUUUCGGUAUGUAAACUUCUAUCAGCAGGGAAGAAAAUGACGGUACCUGACUAAGAAGCCCCGGCCAACUACGUGCCGUCAGCCGCGUUAAUACGUAGGGGGCAAGCGUUAUCCGGAUUUACUGGGUGUAAAGGGGGCGCAGACGGCAGCGCAAGCCAGGAGUGAAAGCCCGGGGCCCAACCCCGGGACUGCUCUUGGAACUGCGCGGCUGGAGUGCAGGAGGGGCAGGCGGAAUUCGUGGUGUAGCGGUGAAAGGCGUAGAUAUCAGGAGGAACACCGGUGGCGAAGGCGGUCUGCUGGACUGCGACUGACGUUGAGGCCCGAAAGCGUGGGGAGCAAACAGGAUUAGAUACCCCGGUAGUC
rnacentral:rRNA from 1 species